GCGGACGGGUGAGUAACACGUGAGUAACCUGCCUUAGACAUUGGGAUAGCCUCGGGAAACCGGGAUUAAUACCAAAUAAAAUCAUAAUGACACAUGUCAUAACGAUCAAAACUCCGGUGGUCUAAGAUGGACUCGCGUCCCAUUAGCUAGUUGGUAGAGUAAAAGCCUACCAAGGCGACGAUGGGUAGCCGGCCUGAGAGGGUGAACGGCCACACUGGAACUGAGACACGGUCCAG
rnacentral:rRNA from 1 species